GACGAACGCUGGCGGCGUGCCUAACACAUGCAAGUCGAGCGAAUGAGAUUCCUUCGGGAAUGGAUUUAGCGGCGGACGGGUGAGUAACACGUGGGCAACUUGCCUCAUAGAGGGGAAUAGCCUUCCGAAAGGGAGAUUAAUACCGCAUAAGAUUGUAGUAUCGCAUGAUACAGCAAUUAAAGGAGCAAUCCGCUAUGAGAUGGGCCCGCGGCGCAUUAGCUAGUUGGUGAGGUAACGGCUCACCAAGGCGACGAUGCGUAGCCGACCUGAGAGGGUGAUCGGCCACAUUGGGACUGAGACACGGCCCAGACUCCUACGGGAGGCAGCAGUGGGGAAUAUUGCACAGUGGGGGAAACCCUGAUGCAGCAACGCCGCGUGAGUGAUGACGGCCUUCGGGUUGUAAAGCUCUGUCUUCAGGGACGAUAAUGACGGUACCUGAGGAGGAAGCCACGGCUAACUACGUGCCAGCAGCCGCCGUAAGAC
rnacentral:rRNA from 1 species